rnacentral:rRNA from 1 species
CCCUUAGAUGUCCUGGGCCGCACGCGCGUUAAACUGAUGCAUUCAACGAGCUUAUAACCUUGGCCGAGAGGCCUGGGCAAUCUUGUUAACGUGCAUCGUGAUAGGGAUAGAUUAUUGAAAUUAUUAAUCUUGAACGAGGAAUUCCUAGUAAACGCAGAUCAUCAAUCUGCAUUGAUUACGUCCCUGCCCUUUGUACACACCGCCCGUCGCACCUACCGAUUGGAUGGUCCGGUGAAGCCUCGGGAUUGUGGUUCUUGCCGCUUUAUUGUGGCGUGACCGCGAGAACUUGUCUAAACCUUAUCAUCUAGAGGAAGGUGAAGUCGUAACA